rnacentral:rRNA from 1 species
UACGUAGGGGCCUAGCGUUGUCCGGAUUUAUUGGGCGUAAAGAGCUCGUAGGCGGUUUGGUGAGUCGGGUGUGAAAUCUCCACGCUCAACGUGGAGGGGCCACCCGAUACUGCCAUGACUAGAGUCCGGUAGGGGAGUGUGGAAUUCCCGGUGUAGCGGUGAAAUGCGCAGAUAUCGGGAGGAACACCAGUAGCGAAGGCGAUACUCUGGGCCGGUACUGACGCUGAGGAGCGAAAGCGUGGGGAGCAAACAGG